rnacentral:rRNA from 1 species
GACGAAGGGGGGCUAGCGUUGUUCGGAAUUACUGGGCGUAAAGCGAGUGUAGGUGGUUGUCACAGUCAGGUAUGAAAGCCUUGAGCUCAACUCAAGAAAUGCACUUGAUACUAGGCGACUAGAGGACCGGAGAGGAUAGUGGAAUUCCCAGUGUAGUGGUGAAAUACGUAGAGAUUGGGAAGAACACCAGUGGCGAAGGCGGCUAUCUGGACGGUUUCUGACACUAAGACUCGAAAGCGUGGGGAGCAAACAGG